rnacentral:lncRNA from 1 species
GCAUAUUAAAGAGUAAUGAAUCACACACUCAGUCACAGGGUCGCCGGCUAUGAAUGUGUUCUCUGUUGGUUUUCCUGGAGCCUGGAGUUUACUAACUGAUGACGCAGGCUGGACUUGAUCAGAGACAUGUGUUGCAGUCUGGACUCCAUGCCGAGGAGUCGGUUCUGCGUACAGUCUUCGGGGGAGUUGUCUCCGUGUUUGGACGAGAAGAGUUUGGAGACUCCGUAAAACUAAAGAGGACCUGCGCCGCGGGGCGCGCCGGCAGGACGACUCCUGCAAGGGACGAUUUAAAGGCAAAGCGAGAAGUUUGGUGGAAAGUAAAUGGGAAAAAAAGUCACUCUAGGCGAGUGAAUCUCAUAGGUGAGAAAGAAAUCCCACUAAAGUUUCAUGUGCUGUAUUAUUUGUAAAAGCUAACAUAAACAUGCGGUAUACAUGCCAAUCAUAUCUGACCUAUGACACUCAUUAAUGUACAUUUCAUACAUUCAUAAUGAAAAAUAAGGCCUUUUUUUAAUUAAAGUAAAUAAAACAUGAAACUUUGAUUGUACAUAAAAACAUUAGGAGAAAAAUGUGCAAAAGAGGCAAAUGAAUCUUUGUCAUGUGCAGCAAGGGAUGUUGGGAUUACUGUCAUACUCAGAAAAUAUUGGUCAAGGAGUCAUUUUGGGUUCUUGGGUGGACUACACCUUUUCAUGCAGUUUGUUCAACAAAUACGCUUAGUUUUUCUUUUCUACACUGGUUGGUUGAAGUUCUUCCAUCUUCAGAGUAAAUGAAACUAACCCUGGACCAUCCAGGUAUUCUGGAAUCUUUUUAAUCUCUUGUUUUACUAAACAUUUGCUUUGUUGUGCAACGACUUUGUUUUUAUCCAAAUCUGUACAGUGAUUU